rnacentral:rRNA from 1 species
GAUGAACGCUGGCGGCGUGCCUAAUACAUGCAAGUAGAACGCUGAAGGAGGAGCUUGCUCUUCUGGAUGAGUUGCGAACGGGUGAGUAACGCGUAGGUAACCUGCCUGGUAGCGGGGGAUAACUAUUGGAAACGAUAGCUAAUACCGCAUGACAACAGUUAUUGCAUGAUAACUGUUUAAAAGGGGCAACUGCUCCACUACCAGAUGGACCUGCGUUGUAUUAGCUAGUUGGUGAGGUAACGGCUCACCAAGGCGACGAUACAUAGCCGACCUGAGAGGGUGAUCGGCCACACUGGGACUGAGACACGGCCCAGACUCCUACGGGAGGCAGCAGUAGGGAAUCUUCGGCAAUGGACGGAAGUCUGACCGAGCAACGCCGCGUGAGUGAAGAAGGGUUUCGGAUCGUAAAGCUCUGUUGUAAGAGAAGAACGAGUGUGAGAGUGGAAAGUUCACACUGUGACGGUAUCUUACCAGAAAGGGACGGCUAACUACG